AUCCUGGCUCAGGAUGAACGCUAGCUACAGGCUUAACACAUGCAAGUCGAGGGGCAGCAUUUCAGUUUGCUUGCAAACUGGAGAUGGCGACCGGCGCACGGGUGAGUAACACGUAUCCAACCUGCCGAUAACUCGGGGAUAGCCUUUCGAAAGAAAGAUUAAUACCCGAUGGUAUAAUUAGACCGCAUGGUCUUGUUAUUAAAGAAUUUCGGUUAUCGAUGGGGAUGCGUUCCAUUAGGCUAGG
rnacentral:rRNA from 1 species